rnacentral:rRNA from 1 species
UACGUAGGGGGCAAGCGUUGUCCGGAUUUAUUGGGCGUAAAGAGCGUGUAGGCGGCUAGAUAGGUCCGUUGUGAAAACUCGAGGCUCAACCUCGAGACGUCGAUGGAAACCAUCUGGCUAGAGUCCGGAAGAGGAGAGUGGAAUUCCUGGUGUAGCGGUGAAAUGCGCAGAUAUCAAGAGGAAUACCUGAGGCGAAGGCGGGUUGCUAGGCUGACACUGACGCUGAGGCGCGAAAGCCAGGGGAGCAAACGGG